GCGGGAGUUGUGUGUUCAGGCUCACGAGCAGCAGCAGCGUUCAGUCGUGCAGAGAUCUAAGCAGCACUGCCAACACCACUCUGCACAGCUGAAGCGAGAGAGGAGGAGAGCUAAGGAAGAGCAGAUGUGAAGAAAUGGGUGGAGAACAAGAGAGCAAAGAUGCUCAACAGAGUGCGCUGCUUCAGAGAGAGGCAUCAUGGUCAGUACGCUUUACAGACGGCUCAUGUGAAGCCAGUGUCACAUGACUCCAGCAGAGAUUACUCCUCCCAGCCCCUGUCAAUCCAAACGCCUCCUGCUCCUCCUCCACCUCCUUCUA